rnacentral:rRNA from 1 species
UUGGCCUUGACAUACUAAGAACUUUCCAGAGAUGGAUUGGUGCCUUCGGGAACUUAGAUACAGGUGCUGCAUGGCUGUCGUCAGCUCGUGUCGUGAGAUGUUGGGUUAAGUCCGCAACGAGCGCAACCCUUCUCCUAUUUGCCAGCGGGUUAAGCCGGGAACUUUAAGGAUACUGCCAGUGACAAACUGGAGGAAGGCGGGGACGACGUCAAGUCAUCAUGGCCCUUACGGCCAGGGCUACACACGUGCUACAAUGGUCGGUACAAAGGGUUGCUACCUCGCGAGAGGAUGCUAAUCUCAAAAAGCCGAUCGUAGUCCGGAUCGCAGUCUGCAACUCGACUGCGUGAAGUCGGAAUCGCUAGUAAUCGCGGAUCAGAAUGCCGCGGUGAAUACGUUCCCGGGCCUUGUACACACCGCCCGUCACACCAUGGGAGUUUGUUGCACCAGAAGUAGGUAGUCUAACCGCAAGGAGGACGCUUACCACGGUGUGGCCGAUGACUGGGGUGAAGUCGUAACAAGGUAGGCGUAGAUGA